rnacentral:rRNA from 1 species
UUAUGUCAGACUUCCAAGAAAAGCUCGCAAUGUCACAAAUAAAAAUGCCUGUACCAUAACCGACACAGGUGGGUAGGUAGAGUAUACUAUGGGGCGCGAGAUAACUCUCUCUAAGGAACUCGGCAAAAUGACUCCGUAACUUCGGGAGAAGGAGUGCCUUAUUUAUAAGGUUGCAAUAACAAGAUCCAAGCAACUGUUUAUCAAAAACACAGGUCUCCGCUAAGUCGUAAGACGAUGUAUGGGGGCUGACGCCUGCCCAGUGCCAGAAGGUUAAAGAAGUUGGUUAGUGUAUGCGAAGCUGAUGACUGAAGCCCUGGUGAACGGCGGCCGUAACGAUAACGGUCCUAAGGUAGCGAAAUUCCUUGUCGGGUAAGUUCCGACCCGCACGAAAGGCGUAAUGAUUUGGAUACUGUCUCGGAGAGAGGCUCGGUGAAAUAGACUUGUCUGUGAAGAUGCGGACUACCUGCACCAGGACAGAAAGACCCUAUGAAGCUUUACUGUAACUUGAAAUUGGAAUUGGACUUUGCUUGCGCAGUAUAGGUGGGAAGCGUUGAAAAUAUUCUUGCGGGAGUAUUGGAGCUAUCAGUGAGAUACCACUCUUGUAAUGUUAGAUUUCUAACUUUGAACCAUAAUCUGGUCAAAGAACAGUUUCAGGUGGGCAGUUUGACUGGGGCGGUCGCCUCCCAAAUGGUAACGGAGGCGUACAAAGGUUUCCUCUGAACGGAUAGAAAUCGUAUCUAGAGUGUAAAGGCAUAAGGAAGCUUGACUGUGAGACCUACAAGUCGAGCAGGGACGAAAGUCAGUCUUAGUGAUCUGACGGUACUGAGUGGAAAGGCCGUCACUCAACGGAUAAAAGUUACUCUAAGGAUAACAGGCUGAUCUCCCCCAAGAGUUCACAUCGACGGGGGGGUUUGGCACCUCGAUGUCGGCUCAUCGCAUCCUGGGGCGGUAGUACGUCCCAAGGGUUGGGCUGUUCGCCCAUGAAAGCGGUACGCGAGCUGGGUUCAGAACGUCGUGAGACAGUUCGGUCCAUAUCCGGUGUAGGCGCUAGAAUAUUGAGAGGAGCCUUCUUUAGUACGAGAGGACCGAGAAGGACACACCGCUGGUGUACCAGUUAUCGUGCCAACGGUAAACGCUGGGUAGCUAUGUGUGGAGUGGAUAACCGCUGAAAGCAUCUAAGUGGGAAGCCCACCUCGAGAUGAGUAUUCCC